rnacentral:rRNA from 1 species
AGAGUUUGAUCAUGGCUCAGGACGAACGCUGGCGGCGUGCCUAAUACAUGCAAGUCGAGCGGAAUGAUGGGAGCUUGCUCCCUGAUUUCAGCGGCGGACGGGUGAGUAACACGUGGGCAACCUGCCCUGCAGAUGGGGAUAACUCCGGGAAACCGGGGCUAAUACCGAAUAAUCGGUUCUUCCGCAUGGAAGAACUCUGAAAGACGGUUUCGGCUGUCACUGCAGGAUGGGCCCGCGGCGCAUUAGCUAGUUGGUGGGAUAACGGCCUACCAAGGCGACGAUGCGUAGCCGACCUGAGAGGGUGAUCGGCCACACUGGGACUGAGACACGGCCCAGACUCCUACGGGAGGCAGCAGUAGGGAAUCUUCCACAAUGGACGAAAGUCUGAUGGAGCAACGCCGCGUGAGCGAAGAAGGUUUUCGGAUCGUAAAGCUCUGUUGCGAGGGAAGAACAAGUACGGGAGUAACUGCCCGUACCUUGACGGUACCUCGUCAGAAAGCCACGGCUAACUACGUGCCAGCAGCCGCGGUAAUACG